ensembl:lncRNA
GAGCUUCUGCCUCAGAGCUCAUCUCAGUCUCCCCUCUGGCAGGUUAAAGCCAUUCCCCUUGUCCUGUCCCUACAGGGCCCUUCAUUUCCAUCAGGAAGGACUGCUCACUGCGUUCCUUCCCCCCUGGCAGUGCUUCAGUUGUCAUCAUCCCUAACAGCAAGAAGAGAGCUCUGUGCAGGUCCCUCUGUUUCCCUUCUUUCUCUGUUCGGGGUGAAACUCCACUGAUGACAUUGUUGUUUGUGGAGCAUGUUGUGGGCAACUGGGAGUUGGGAGCAGGGACAGGGCAUGGCCCUGUAAAAGCACUGUAGGAGCAUCCUGUGAGGUUUGAUGUCAAGUAGUUUUCAGAGCUGGGGGGCAACUGGAAGUUAACAGUAGAAGGCACUGCAGAGAUACCAGCCAAGUAUGUCACCAGCUCAAGUCAAAGGGACAGAUAAGGUGAGCUCUGGCUUAGUGAGCCUCACACUUGAAGUGUGGCACUUGCCUGACAAAAUGACAAACCUUUGCUGACAUGGUGGCUAUAGCCAGGACUGUGACUGACGCCUCGUGUGCCAUCAAAACUAUGAUGUGAAUGAACAUCUCCUGGUGUGUGUUAGUUCAUUUUGGGGCAAAAGCAUCAGCAAUCUUAGUGGAAGUGCAGUUCUGUAACACACAACCAAUUCCUAGCGCAUCCUAAGAGUAUUCCCUGAUGUAAUACAGGAGCCGUUGCAGAUCCGGUCCAACAGCCUGAGGACAUACAUCUCAGAUGGCUGGAAAACGAAGGGCAGCAGCCCAGAAUCCAGGCAGAACUUCAAAGCCACACUUUAAAUUGCUGCCCUUCUUUUUGCUCACUGAUGAUUUUGCAUUAUAUCUGAGAUCAGUCGGGAAGAAGAGAAAGACUUUGAGCAGGAGACUAAAGUAACACAUGACAGAACUGUUGGAUGUUUUAAUGUCUGGGGGAUUUAGUCCCUUAUCUCUAAUGCCAGCUGGGGAGAAUCAAAGACUUCUCUUGGUAUUAGAUGAAAAUUAAAACAUCACUUAUAAGAAGUGAUGGUCGAGCUGAAGGAGGGGCAGAGGUUCACCUUGAGGUUUGGCUUUGAUUAAGUAUCCAGAAAUACCAAUGCUUCUUCAAAUGAUCUGAAACUCUUGGCAUGGAUGGGGCAGGGAGGACACCCUGUUUCUCCAGCAGUUUCUGGGCACAGGAGGACAGAGAAAUGUGGCCACUUCCCUUCCUCUUGUGCUCAGAAAUCAUCCAGAAAGGCUCUUAUUUUAAUGGUCAUGGAGCAGAAAUGUCAAACAGUAGAAGUACUGAGUGAAUUUCUAGAGAAGCCUGGGCUCUGUGAGGGCAGCAGCUUGCUUUACUCCUCGUCUUGUUCAAGUAUUUCCCCCUGCCUCAAUUCCAGGUGAUGAGUUCUGUUCUCCAUCCACUGCUUCCCUCCCGGACCUACCUGUGCCAUGCAGAACUCCCCGCUGUGUGUUCACAUGGGUGUUGUGGGACACUGGAGACCCCUAUGGCCAAGUGGAGAGAAUGGCAUCACAAACGGAUGUGAUCCCUGUUGUAUCACAGGGUUUGUGCCCUGCUGAGUUCUGCUUUCAUUACAGUCUGUGGAUUGCGGCUGCAGUUUGAAACUGAAGCAACAAACAACACUGAGCUUCACAGGGCUUGCUCACACAUCAGAAACCCAGACAAACAGAAUGGUUGGGGUUGGAAGGACCUUAAAGAUCAUCUACUUCCAAAUGAUGCCACAAGGGAGAAAGACUGGCAGCUUCAGCACAAAGGAGAGUCCAAGUGCUCAGCCGACCUGAGCGUGGAGCAUUAUCCACAGCCUGCUCUUUUCUUUACCAUAUACCUUCAUUUCCUGCACACUUUAUUCAGGACACAGAAAAAAUACAGAUAUAUAUAUUCCUAUUAGUAGAAAUCAUCCAUUUUAUGCUGCCAGCAAU